rnacentral:tRNA from 5 species
GAUUCGUUAGCUCAGUCGGUAGAGCAUCUGACUUUUAAUCAGAGGGUCGGGAGUUCGAGCCUCCCACGGAUCAUCA